AAGCUCGAUGCCCCGAUGUCGGAUGCCUGAUGGCUGAUGGCUGACAAGGAUUACAAGGAUAACCAUUUGCCCCUUACAUCUGUCAAGCAUCGAAACACACACAUGUGUAUCUAUUGUGUAUAUUUUGUAUUCCCUUCUGCUCUAUUGGCCGAGAACCUCCCUGGCCACAAUCUGCUAUGCCGCGAUCCCCUUCUCUUACCGCGCCAGCAGGUCGGGUGGCGAUAUUUUUAACAUCAUUUACAAGAGGCUUCACCCUUCUGGUCUUCCGGUUCAUAUGAGCGAGCGUGCGCUCAAUGACGGUUGACCACUCAAGGCUGACAUCACGAACUCCCUGCCUCGGGACAUGAUGGCCUCUUCCUGGCGUCCAACGAUGUGUUCUCCUCCUUUCGAGUCCGCUUUCUGUCGGUACCACCACUGAUGGACUCCUGGAUGGACUGUGGCAGCCACUGGGUUUCCUGCUGUGGGCCCUGAUGCCGCUGCUGUUUCACCGAGGAUCCCUGCAGCAGGGAUCAAAUCGACGAAGGAAGUGUUGGUUCACGCCCAUGGGAAAUGUCAGCAACCACCCCAUUCAUAUGCCGCCGCAUCAAACGCUGUUCUACAGCUUCGAGACGAAGAAGCAUUACCGAGGCUUAUUCGAGAUACACCGAGGUCUAUCCCAGCCAGGCCUAACCUAACAAGCUAUCGACAUCCUUCGACCUGGCCAUCGACAACAAGGACUUUGACUAUGGUAACCAAGCGAAGAGCUACGCGGGAUGCUAGACUCUAUAUAGAUCUCGUUGUUGUUAGGUGUAAGAUAGAUAAAACUGUUUUCCACUUGUUUAUUUAUUGAUAAUAAGCUAACU